UUUGGAGGCAAUACCACCCAGAUCCUGGUAGCUAAGCAGGGUUGGGCCUGGCCAGUACUUGGAUGACAAGACUGCCUGGGAAUACCGUGUGCUGUAGGCU
rnacentral:rRNA from 1 species